UACGGGGGGGGCAAGCGUUGUCCGGAAUCAUUGGGCGUAAAGCGCGUGUAGGCGGCCCGGUAAGUCUGCUGUGAAAGCCCAGGGCUCAACCCUGGGAUGCCGGUGGAUACUGUCGGGCUAGAGUCCGGAAGAGGCGAGUGGAAUUCCUGGUGUAGCGGUGAAAUGCGCAGAUAUCGGGAGGAACACCAGCGGCGAAGGCGGCACUCUGGGCUGGAACUGACGCUGAGGAGCGAAAGCGUGGGUAGCAAACAGG
rnacentral:rRNA from 1 species